rnacentral:rRNA from 1 species
UCAGCCUACGGGGGGCAGCAGUGAGGAAUAUUGGUCAAUGGGCGCAAGCCUGAACCAGCCAAGUCGCGUGAGGGAUGACGGUCCUAUGGAUUGUAAACCUCUUUUGUCGGGGAGCAAGGCCCGCCACGUGUGGCGGGAAGGAGAGUACCCGAAGAAAAAGCAUCGGCUAACUCCGUGCCAGCAGCCGCGGUAAUAAGGAGGAUGCGAGCGUUAUUCGGAUUUAUUGGGUUUAAAGGGUGCGCAGGCGGUCUGUU